rnacentral:rRNA from 1 species
CCUACGGGUCGCAGCAGUGAGGAAUAUUGGUCAAUGGACGAGAGUCUGAACCAGCCAAGUAGCGUGAAGGAUGACUGCCCUAUGGGUUGUAAACUUCUUUUAUAAAGGAAUAAAACGAGGCACGUGUGCCUUGUUGCAUGUACUUUAUGAAUAAGGAUCGGCUAACUCCGUGCCAGCAGCCGCGGUAAUACGGAGGAUCCGAGCGUUAUCCGGAUUUAUUGGGUUUAAAGGGUGCGUAGAUGGGUUGUUAAGUCAGUUGUGAAAGUUUGGGGCUCAACCGUAAAAUUGCAAUUGAUACUGGUGGUCUAGAGUAUAGUUGCGGUAGGCGGAAUGUGUGGUGUAGCGGUGAAAUGCUUAGAGAUCACGAAGAACCCCGAUUGCGAAGGCAGCUUACUAAACUGUGACUGACGUUGAUGCACGAAAGUGUGGGUAUCAAACAGGAUUAGAUACCCUGGUAGUC